AUCUGAUGAUUUUGGAAAUUUUACAACGUCUAGAUAAGUCCAAUAUAAGAGCUAUUACCAAGUUUCAAGUCUCUACGUGUAUUUAUAAUUGAAUUACAGCAAAAAACUCCCAAAAAUUAAAAUUUCUUAAAUGCUCAAAAGUUUUGGCAAUGGUACCGUAAGCAAGUAAAUCUCAAAGGCAACAAAAAAGAUGUCUUGUGAAUUUUCGAUUAAAUCAUUUUUUCUGAUAGAAAAAGUCAUCCGUGUUUUUAUAAAAUAUUGAAAUCGUGAAAAUCAAAAAUGACCUCUCUAGAGUACCAUCUAGACAACUUG